AACGAACGCUGGCGGCAUGCCUAACACAUGCAAGUCGAACGAGAACUCCGGGCUUAGUGGCGCAUGGGUGCGCAACGCGUGGGAUAACGCCUUUAGGUUCGGCACUACUCUGAGAAAUUUGAGUUAAUACCGGAUGAUGUUUCCGGACAAAAGACUUGUCGCCUUUAGAUGGGCCCGCGUUGGAUUAGUUUGUUGGUGGGGUAAAGGCCUACCAAGGCGACGAUCCAUAGUUGGCUAGUGAGGAUGAUCAGCCAGACUGGGACUGAGACACGGCCCAGACGCGUGCAAGAAGCAGCGAAGAGGGAUAUAGGGGAAUAAGCGUGAUGCAGAGCCAGCGAGUCCGCGUGGAUGGUGAAGGCGUUGGAAUUGUAAUUCGCUAGGACCCGAGAUGUUAGUGACGGUAUCGAGAGAAUAAGCACCGGCUAACUCCGUG
rnacentral:rRNA from 1 species